rnacentral:misc_RNA from 1 species
UCUUCAGCAAAAUUGUGGGGGAGGGAAGUAAAAAAGACUUCUGCAUAAUUUCAACAGCCAGCAGAAUGAGAAGUGCAGAGGAUGGCAGCCGGGGAACUUCAAUAUUUGAUCAAGGUGAGUGGUUGAGUUUGAGCUUAGGAAGAAACUCACCUUCAACAUCUAAAGAAUCUGAGUCACAGACAAGACCUACUCCUGGCAAGGUUUUUUCAUGUAACUUCUGCAUGAGGAAGUUCUACAGUUCACAGGCUCUGGGAGGCCACCAGAAUGCUCACAAG